GCACCCCAUGUUGUGAGCCGUAACCUUACGGCUGACCGCCAGGCUCCAUCGCUUACGCGAUGUAACUUUUUAUCUACACAAACGUAAACUUUCACCCCUUCUUCACAUCGGCUACAAACCGUUUCCUGGGAUAGCUAGCCCACGCCACGACCCGUCUCCCACGUUCCUAUUCCAAUCGAGAUGAGCGGUAGUUUUGAUGGCGAGUGGCGGCGGCGGCUGGUUUGCUGGUCGACGGCAUGGUGCUCAGCGGGUUAGUUCUGCGGGAAAGUCAAUGACCUCAGCGACGUCAUGAUCAGGCAUGUGGCCACGGAGUCCGGCAGCGCGGCGUCCGGCGGGUGGUUGUCGCGGCAGCUCUGGCUCGAGGCUCGAGCACGGUUGCCAGGACUGUACAAGGACGAGCAUCCAUCACGGCCUCCGGGUGUAAGGUUCGUGCGCUCCCCUUUUUUUUUGCAAACGCAUGGGCACAGUGAGCCCGCUGCCCUUGUUCUCCAUGCGGCUGCGAUCCCCUCCUCUCACACCACAUCACAUGUUUUGUUGCUAGACCCUUCCUCCUACCCGGUAACCAUUAUGUUUCUGAUCUGAUUGUUUCCAUAAUUUCAAGGCUUGUGUGAACCUCGGUAAUUCAUCUUUGGAUCUCAUUCUGAGUGCCCACGGGGUGUUUAUGUUAAUGCCCAAUUGGGAAUUGAAGCUGUAACAGUUGUAUACUUUUGUGAGGAAUCUUGGAUAAAUGAAGGCGCAGGUUCUAAAUUUCAUUUACUAUUGAUUCUGAAAAGAUUUAUUACAUGAGCCUGAUGGGUAGAAUCCUUAUUUGUGCCUGGCUACUUGGUAUAGUAUAGCAAAUAAAAUCUGCCAAGGGUCAGGGGUAAAUUCAAGUGUCCUGACUCUAUGAAUUCAUUAUGAACAAGUGUGCAGUGGAUGGCCUGGUGUGCUUUGCUUGGACGUCCGGACGCGACCGCGACGGUGCCGACAGCCUGGGCCUCCCGCACCUCGGCGGGGGAGGUGGUUCCCUCCUGCUCGGUAACGGUGCUGCUGCUUCUGUCGUUUGGCAUUUCUCUUCGGAUCUCUUGGCCUCGCGGUGGUGUUCGUAGUGAGACGGCGUGGGUCGUGGCACAACCGAGAUGGCGCAAGGUGGUGGGCGGAGGUUUGGCUGGUCGGCUUUGGUUCGGUCGGGUGGCGGGUUUGGAGUGUGGAAGAAAUCCUUGCCGGUCUUCGGCUCAAAUGCGGUGACACCUGCGAGUGCCACCAUUCCUUCCUGGAGAGUGUCGUUGUUCUCCAUCCCCCAACUCCCUCCGCGUGUCAGGGAAAACCCUAGGACCCGUCCGGGCAGCAGCGUCGUCGGCGUCGCAUUCCUUCUUGGGGGUUCUGCUUGGUACGCGGCGGAUCGGAGCCUCGGGCUAUGGUCGUUUGUUUCGAGUGGGCGCAGCGAUGGCGGGUCAUCCGUGCUUUGUCGAGCUGCCGCUGUAGGUAUUUGUUUCUUCUUCUUUUUCUUUUGGGCUUGUUGUGCUACUCGCCCCAGCGAUUUGUACUUUCGGUGUUGAUUGCUUUGAAAUACAAAGCAGGGAAAACCCUUUUUGGUAAUCUGUCAUCGAAUUUAAUAAUGUAAGAUGAAAGUCACAAUUCUGAAGUUGACAUUAGAGCAAAAAAGCAUGAUGCGAUUUUUUCAGUGUGUUCGGCAAGAGGCCCUGGUGACGGAUGACCUCUCUGGCUGGAGACAGUGGGUGCCUUUGGGGGCGAACGCAUACGGCGGGCGUGUGGCCUCGGUGUCGGGUUAAGUGUUUUUAACUUUCCGUAGAGCAGGUAGGCUCGACGACGUGGUGCUUGGUUUGGGUGGUGGUCACAUCAACGCUGCUAAUGGUGGUCUGAGUCGCUGGUUUGACCAUGACCCCUUCAUGCUCUCUGCCAGCCACGGUUGCAUGCUCUAGUACGCGCUGCAUGCCACAGUUUUCUGAACAAUUUCCCUGGCCCAAUACCUCUCGGAUGUGCAGGUAACUUAUGCCCAAUAAAUAGUGUGGUUGAUCUUGGUUCGUGGCGAGUUAGUUGUUUUGGUCAUAGCUAAACCGAGUGUGUUCUUGUCUAAAUUUGAUUGCAAUAUACAAAUAGUUUUCGGAGCUACAGGCUAUGUAAAGUUAAAAGUGUGUUAUCCAGAUCAUAAAAUUCAUGCUUGGGCUAGCUAAAUAUUAUGCAGAGGUAAUGAUGCUACUCUGGUUUGUGCUUCCGUUGAAAUAUACACAAGGUGUUCAGAUGGUUUGCUUGCAAAUAUGAACAUGGUGUUCAGAUGGUUUGCUUGCAAAUAUGAACAAGGUGUUCAGAUGUAACUCGUAAGAUAGAAGAAUCCUCUUGUGAAUUUUCUGUUGAAGAAAUUACUUCCACGUGGACUUUUUCUAUUAUUAUUAAGUGAUAUCAGUAGAUUCCAUGCUUGAUUCUUGCAGCUGUCAGAAGUCUACGGACAGUCAAGUAAUAAAUAUGGACUCUUAAUUGAAGGAGAACUCUGUGCACUUAUGAUAGCAUCUGGACCGUAAAUCUGUAGCAGGUCCUCGACGUAUCAUGCCAAGGCAUACAUGUAGCAGUAUCAUCCAGACCACGU
rnacentral:lncRNA from 1 species